AGAGUGAACGCUGGCGGUAGGCCUAACACAUGCAAGUCGAACGGCAGCACGGUAAGAGCUUGCUCUUAUGGGUGGCGAGUGGCGGACGGGUGAGGAAUACAUCGGAAUCUACCUUUUGGUGGGGGAUAACGUAGGGAAACUUACGCUAAUACCGCAUACGCCCUUCGGGGGAAAGCCGGGGACCAGCAAUGGCCUGGCGCUGAUAGAUGAGCCGAUGUCGGAUUAGCUAGUUGGUGAGGUAAUGGCUCACCAAGGCGACGAUCCGUAGCUGGUCUGAGAGGAUGAUCAGCCACACUGGAACUGAGACACGGUCCAGACUCCGUACGGGAGCAGCA
rnacentral:rRNA from 1 species